rnacentral:rRNA from 1 species
UACGUAGGGGGCAAGCGUUGUCCGGAAUCAUUGGGCGUAAAGAGCGUGUAGGCGGUCCGUUAAGUCGGCUGUGAAAGUCCAAGGCUCAACCUUGGGAUGCCGGUCGAUACUGCCGGACUAGAGUUCGGAAGAGGCGAGUGGAAUUCCCGGUGUAGCGGUGAAAUGCGCAGAUAUCAGGAGGAACACCAAUGGCGAAGGCAGCUCGCUGGGACGGUACUGACGCUGAGACGCGAAAGCGUGGGGAGCAAACAGG